UACGUAGGGCGCAAGCGUUGUCCGGAAUUAUUGGGCGUAAAGAGCUCGUAGGCGGCUUGUCACGUCGGAUGUGGAAAGCCCGGGGCUUAACCCCGGGUCUGCAUUCGAUACGGGCAGGCUAGAGUGUGGUAGGGGAGAUCGGAAUUCCUGGUGUAGCGGUGAAAUGCGCAGAUAUCAGGAGGAACACCGGUGGCGAAGGCGGAUCUCUGGGCCAUUACUGACGCUGAGGAGCGAAAGCGUGGGGAGCGAACAGGAUUGAG
rnacentral:rRNA from 1 species